rnacentral:rRNA from 1 species
CUACGGGAUGCUCCAGCGGGGAAUAUUGCACAAUGGGCGCAAGCCUGAUGCAGCAACGCCGCGUGAGGGACGACGGCCUUCGGGUUGUAAACCUCUUUUAGCAGGGAAGAAGCGAAAGUGACGGUACCUGCAGAAAAAGCACCGGCUAACUACGUGCCAGCAGCCGCGGUAAUACGUAGGGUGCAAGCGUUGUCCGGAAUUAUUGGGCGUAAAGAGCUCGUAGGCGGUUUGUCGCGUCUGCUGUGAAAAUCCGAGGCUCAACCUCGGACCUGCAGUGGGUACGGGCAAACUAGAGUGCGGUAGGGGAGAUUGGAAUUCCUGGUGUAGCGGUGGAAUGCGCAGAUAUCAGGAGGAACACCAAUGGCGAAGGCAGAUCUCUGGGCCGUAACUGACGCUGAGGAGCGAAAGCGUGGGGAGCGAACAGGAUUAGAUACCCGGGUAGUC